rnacentral:lncRNA from 1 species
AUGUAUGGAAAAAUAAUCUUUGUAUUACUAUUGUCAAAAUUGUGAGCAUAUCAGCAUUAAGUACCACUGAGGUGGCAAUGCACACUUCAACUUCUUCUUCAGUCACAAAGAGUUACAUCUCAUCACAGACAAAUGAGAAAGGGUACAACUUGCCCAUCAUUUCUCUGAACCAAGAUAACACUCAUUAUUUUUGGGGUGAUGGCUGGUGUUAUUGGAACGAUCCUCUUAAUUUCUUACGGUAUUCGCCGACUGAUAAAAAAAGCCCAUCUGAUGUAAAACCUCUCCCCUCACCUGACACAGACGUGCCUUUAAGUUCUGUUGAAAUAGAAAAUCCAGGUUGGUGUUAAUA